GACGAACGCUGGCGGCGUGCUUAACACAUGCAAGUCGAACGAUGAAGAAGAGAAACGCGAACUUCGGUUCAAAUUUCACUUCGGAUUAGUGGCAGACGGGUGAGUAACGCGUGAGCAACCUACCUCUUACAAAGGGAUAGCCUCGGGAAACCGUGAUUAAUACCAUAUGACACAUUCAUAAGGCAUCUUAAGAAUGUUAAAGCUACGGCGGUAAGAGAUGGGCUCGCGUCCCAUUUGCUAGUUGGUGAGGUAACGGCCCACCAAGGCGACGAUGGGUAACCGGCCUGAGAGGGUGAACGGUCACAUUGGAACUGAGACACGGUCCAAACUCCUACGGGAGGCAGCAGUGGGGAAUAUUGCACAAUGGAGGGAACUCUGAUGCAGCGACGCCGCGUGAGCGAUGAGGGAAUUCGUUUCGUAAAGCUCUGUUCUAUGGGAAGAAAAGGACUGUACCAUAGGAGAAAGCCCCGGCUAAAUACGUG
rnacentral:rRNA from 1 species